AACGAACGCUGGCGGCAGGCUUAACACAUGCAAGUCGAGCGCCCCGCAAGGGGAGCGGCAGACGGGUGAGUAACGCGUGGGAAUCUACCCAUCUCUACGGAAUAACGCAUGGAAACGGGGGCUAAUACCGUAUACGUCCUUCGGGAGAAAGAUUUAUCGGAGAUGGAUGAGCCCGCGUUGGAUUAGCUAGUUGGAGGGGUAAAGGCCUACCAAGGCGACGAUCCAUAGCUUGUCUGAGAGGAUGAGCGGCCACACUGGGACUGAGACACGGACCAGACUCCUACGGGAGGCAGCAGUGGGGAAUAUUGGACAAUGGGCGCAAGCCUGAUCCAGCCAUGCCGCGUGAGUGAUGAAGGCCCUAGGGUUGUAAAGCUCUUUCACCGGUGAAGAUAAUGACGGUAACCGGAGAAGAAGCCCCGGCUAACUUCGUGCCAGCCGCCGCCGUAACAC
rnacentral:rRNA from 1 species